rnacentral:tRNA from 1 species
GGGGGUGUAGCUCAGCCUGGCAGAGCGACGGUCUUUUAAACCGCUGGUCGUGGGUCCGAAUCCCACCGCCCCCA